rnacentral:rRNA from 1 species
UACAGAGGGUGCGAACGUUGCUCGGAAUUACUGGGCGUAAAGCGCAUGUAGGCGGAUCCAUAAGUCGGGCGUGAAAUCCCCAGGCUCAACCUGGGAACUGCGCUCGAAACUGUAGGUCUUGAGUGUCGGAGAGGAUGGCGGAAUUCCUGGUGUAGAGGUGAAAUUCGUAGAUAUCAGGAGGAACACCGGUGGCGAAGGCGGCCAUCUGGACGACAACUGACGCUGAGGCGCGAAAGCGUGGGGAGCAAACAGG